UACGAGGGGGGCGAGCGUUGUUCGGAAUUAUUGGGCGUAAAGGGCGCGUAGGCGGUUGGAUAAGUCUUGUGUGAAAUCUUCGGGCUCAACUCGAAGUCUGCACGAGAACUAUCUGGCUUGAGUGUGGGAGAGGGGCGUGGAAUUCCGGGUGUAGUGGUGAAAUGCGUAGAGAUCCGGAGGAACCCCAGAGGCGAAGGCGGCGCCCUGGCUGCGCAACUGACGCUCGACACGACAGCAUGGGGAGCGAACGGG
rnacentral:rRNA from 1 species